CCUACGGGAGGCAGCAGUGGGGAAUAUUGCACAAUGGGGGAAACCCUGAUGCAGCGACGCCGCGUGAGUGAAGAAGUAAUUCGUUACGUAAAGCUCUGUCAGCAGGGAAGAAAGAAAUGACGGUACCUGACCAAGAAGCCCCGGCUAACUACGUGCCAGCAGCCGCGGUAAUACGUAGGGGGCAAGCGUUAUCCGGAAUUACUGGGUGUAAAGGGAGCGUAGACGGUUAAGUAAGUCUGGAGUGAAAGGCCGGGGCUCAACCCCGGGACUGCUCUGGAAACUAUUUAACUUGAGUGCAGGAGAGGUAAGCGGAAUUCCUAGUGUAGCGGUGAAAUGCGUAGAUAUUAGGAGGAACACCAGUGGCGAAGGCGGCUUACUGGACUGUAACUGACGUUGAGGCUCGAAAGCGUGGGGAGCAAACAGGAUUAGAUACCCUAGUAGUC
rnacentral:rRNA from 1 species